UACGUAGGGUGAAAGCGUUGUCCGGAAUUAUUGGGCGUAAAGAGCUCGUAGGCGGUUUGUUGCGUCGGCUGUGAAAUCCCGAGGCUCAACCUCGGGUCUGCAGUCGAUACGAGCAAACUAGAGUGUUGCAGGGGAGACUGGAAUUCCUGGUGUAGCGGUGAAAUGCGCAGAUAUCAGGAGGAACACCGGUGGCGAAGGCGGGUCUCUGGGCAACAACUGACGCUGAGGAGCGAAAGCGUGGGGAGCGAACAGG
rnacentral:rRNA from 1 species